ensembl:lncRNA
GGGAGGAAACAGAACAACGGGGAACUUCACAGCAUGAACCGAAAAGUUAGACAGAAAGAAAGUCUUUUGAAAUGGAAAACUUAAAACGAAAAAAGAACGAGGGAGGAGCGCGACAGGAUUUUCUUCUCAGAAAGAAGGAAGGAAAGAAGGAAAGGCUGGAUGGUAUAGAUUUGGUGUGAGGGUGUUAUUAGGUGGUUUUUGUUAUGAUUGUUAUGCUGUUAUAGUGUUAUUAGGGUGUUGUGAAGGGGUUGUGAUGGUGUUGGGAUGUGUUAGAGUGAUGUUACGGUGUUGUGAUGGUGUUAGAGGGUUAUGGUGUUAGUGUUGUGCUGGGAAUGAGUUAUUAGGGUGUUGUGAAGGGGCUGUGAUGUGUUAGAGUGAUGUUACGGUGUUGUGAUGGUGUUCGAGGGUUAUGGUGUUAGUGUUGUGCUGGGAAUGAGUUAUUAGGGUGUUGUGAAGGGGUUGUGAUGUGUUAGAGUGAUGUUACGGUGUUGUGAUGGUGUUAUUAGAGGGUUAUGGUGUUAGUGUUGUGCUGGGAAUGAGUGUUAUUAGGGUGUUGUGAAGGGGUUAUGAUGGUGUUGUGAUGGUGUUAUUAGAGGGUUAUGGUGUUAGUGUUGUGCUGGGAAUGAGUGUUAUUAGGGUGUUGUGAAGGGGUUGUGAUGGUGUUGUGAUGUUACGGUGUUGUGAUGGUGUUAUUAGAGUGUUAUGGUGUUAGUGUUGUGCUGGGAAUGAGUUGUUAUGGUGUUAGUGUUGUGCUGGGAAUGAGUUAUUAGGGUGUUGUGAAGGGGUUAUGAUGUGUUAGAGUGAUGUUACGGUGUUGUGAUGGUGUUAGAGUGUUAUGGUGUUAGUGUUGUGCUGGGAAUGAGUUAUUAGGGUGUUGUGAAGGGGUUAUGAUGUGUUAGAGUGAUGUUACGGUGUUGUGAUGGUGUUAUUAGAGGGUUAUGGUGUUAGUGUUGUGCUGGGAAUGAGUUAUUAGGGUGUUGUGAAGGGGUUAUGAUGUGUUAGAGUGAUGUUACGGUGUUGUGAUGGUGUUAUUAGAGUGUUAUGGUGUUAGUGUUGUGCUGGGAAUGAGUGUUAUUAGGGUGUUGUGAAGGGGUUGUGAUGGUGUUGUGAUGUUACGGUGUUGUGAUGGUGUUAUUAGAGGGUUAUGGUGUUAGUGUUGUGCUGGGAAUGAGUGUUAUUAGGGUGUUGUGAAGGGGUUGUGAUGGUGUGAUGUUACGGUGUUGUGAUGGUGUUAUUAGAGGGUUAUGGUGUUAGUGUUGUGCUGGGAAUGAGUGUUAUUAGGGUGUUGUGAUUGUGUUAUGAUGUCAUUAUUAAAGUGUUAUGAUGAGUUAGUGUGUUAUGGUGGUUUUAGGUGUUUUAUGGUGUUAUGAUGCUGUUAGUGUUCGUGUGUUGCGGUUGUGUUAUGAGAGUAUUACUAAGGUGUUAAGAUGUUUUAGGGUGUGAUUGUUAGGACAGUGUUAUAAUAGUAUCAGGGUGUUAUUGAGUUAUGAUGGGGUUAUUGUGUUAUUAUUGUGCUGUGAUUGUGUUAUGAUGGGGUUAUUGUGUUGUGUUAUUAUUGUGUUGUGAUUGUUAUGAUGAGGUUAUUGUGUUGUGAUUGUGUUAUGAUGGGGUGAUUGUGUUGUGAUUGUGUUAGUGUUGUGAUUGUGUUGUGAUUGUGUUGUGAUUGUGUUGUGAUUGUGUUGUGAUUGUGUGAUGAUGGGGUGAUUGUGUUAUUGUGUUGUGAUUGUGUUAUGUUGGGGUGAUUGUGUUGUGAUUGUGUUGUG